UACGUAGGGGGCGAGCGUUGUCCGGAUUUAUUGGGCGUAAAGAGCUCGUAGGCGGUCUGUCACGUCGGACGUGAAAAUCCAGGGCUCAACCCUGGACCUGCGUUCGAUACGGGCAGACUAGAGUGCGGUAGGGGAGAUUGGAAUUCCUGGUGUAGCGGUGGAAUGCGCAGAUAUCAGGAGGAACACCAAUGGCGAAGGCAGAUCUCUGGGCCGUAACUGACGCUGAGGAGCGAAAGCAUGGGGAGCGAACAGG
rnacentral:rRNA from 1 species